CAGCCGCCACGGUAAUACGAAGGGUGCAAGCGUUAAUCGGAAUUACUGGGCGUAAAGCGUGCGUAGGCGGUGAGUUAAGUCUGCUGUGAAAUCCCCGGGCUCAACCUGGGAAUGGCAGUGGAUACUGGCUCGCUAGAGUGUGUCAGAGGAUGGUGGAAUUCCCGGUGUAGCGGUGAAAUGCGUAGAGAUCGGAAGGAACAUCUGUGGCGAAGGCGACUAUCUGGGCCAACACUGACACUGAGACACGAAAGCGUGGGGAGCAAACAGGAUUAGAUACCCCGGUAGUCCCUGUCUCUUAUAC
rnacentral:rRNA from 1 species